rnacentral:lncRNA from 1 species
AUGAUUUUAAAGUUUUUACAUUUUUUUUCUUUCUUUUUUUGGAUUUCUUUGGAUAAGUAAUACAAACACAUCACAAUGUUGCAAUUCAUGUCAAUUCCUGUAUGAAAUUCAUGGUCAGAUAGAGAUGCCAGUGCACAUUUGGGAAAUGUACACAGGCAGCUAGGUUCAUUGUCCUCUUUUGUCUGCAGAAAGCAAUCAAGAAAACAUCUGUGCUUAGAUAGAGCUGAUUUUCAUGGAUUGGGUUCAGAUGUUGGCAGAAGACCCAUGCUCCAAGAGCAGCCAAAAGAUGGUUAAUUGGCUGUCAGCUCUGGAAGCCUGACCGUUAGCUGCGAGACACAAUACUUAUUUACAGAGAGUCACAAUACUUAUUUCCAAGGCAAGCAGAAAGUAGGGGAAGUCUGUGAGGAAUGGGAAUGAAAAGCGACAGGUUGUCCAAGAAACUAGAAUACUGCGGGUUCACUAAGUUUUUCUCUUCAAACUCUGCUCCAGGAAUAAUUCCAUGUGUGCAGGAACCUCGGAUUGAUUUGGAUGGAGGAGCCAGAAUUAUAGACCAGUAAUGUGGUGUACGGAAAGCUUUCUCCGUGCAUCCAUCUGCCAGCAGCCAUGAACGAGUUCAUGCAGCAGAAGAAUAUGCUUUUCUAAGGGCAGGUUUGAUAUUUUGGUUACAUGUGUGUGAAUAUAAUCUCUAGCUAAGUUUAGCCUUAAGUAAAACCUAAUUUAGUUUGCAUAACUGUGAGAGCCAUGGAGGAUCCCAGGGUUGCCAACCACAUCUAAGUACUACCUACUUUCCCUGGAGCAAUCAAGAACCUUAGUUCCAAGAAUUCAUCAUCCUAAAAAUUCAAACUAAUGAAGUCUUGAUUAUCUGAAUCAUGUCCCUAAAUUAAAUACAACUCCAACACUCCUGAAAUGGAGGAGUCUACUGCAGUCUGAGUUUGUCGAUGGAUCUCUUAGGCGCAGCACAAACCAGUUGGGUAUGGCAGCAGUACUGCAGCUGAGUGUAGAUUGAUUCUAGCAGGAUUCAGUGAUUUAUUGCAUCAGAUGUAACAGCGUGGUACAAGGUAGCAUGCUAUGAUUAGAUUUAAGCAACAUAACCCAGUGUGAUGGCUGAGAUGUCAGGGGGGAAGGCAUCUAUUUUUCUGGUCAGCCAGUAUUAAUUCUCUUACCUGAUGUCUAGCAUAAUUUUUUCAAAGAAUCAUAACUGUGAGGGAAAGCUUACAAAGAGAGAUGUAUGUAGAAUUUCUGAACAAACAACAUCAUGAACAGAAUGAUUUAUAAUAGAUGGAUAAUGAUCUAAGUUUGUAUCUAAUUGUUUUAGCUGUAACUAGCAGUUAGAUGGAAUCAUUCAUGACCAAAUCAUCCUUAAUCCCACUUCAGAGCUUCUUUUCUUACAGCCCAUCUGUUGACAUGACAAAUUUGUCAAAUUUCAGAAGACUGUUGCUCU